UACAGAGACUGCAAGCGUUAUUCGGAUUCACUGGGCGUAAAGGGUGCGCAGGCGGCCAAGUGUGUCAGAUGUGAAAUCCCGAGGCUCAACCUCGGAACUGCGUCUGAAACUACUCGGCUAGAGUAUUGGAGAGGGUAACGGAAUUCACGGUGUAGCAGUGAAAUGCGUAGAUAUCGUGAGGAACACCAGAGGCGAAGGCGGUUACCUGGACAAUUACUGACGCUCAGGCACGAAAGCGUGGGGAGCAAAAGGG
rnacentral:rRNA from 1 species